AUUGAACGCUGGCGGCAUGCUUUACACAUGCAAGUCGAACGGCAGCACGGGGGCUUGCUCCUGGUGGCGAGUGGCGAACGGGUGAGUAAUGCAUCGGAACGUACCCAGUAGUGGGGGAUAGCCCGGCGAAAGCCGGAUUAAUACCGCAUAUUUCCUGAGGGAGAAAGCGGGGGACCUUCGGGCCUCGCGCUACUGGAGCGGCUGAUGUCGGAUUAGCUAGUUGGUGAGGUAAAGGCUCACCAAGGCGACGAUCCGUAGCUGGUCUGAGAGGAUGAUCAGCCACACUGGGACUGAGACACGGCCCAGACUCCUACGGGAGGCAGCAGUGGGGAAUUUUGGACAAUGGGGGCAACCCUGAUCCAGCCAUGCCGCGUGAGUGAAGAAGGCC
rnacentral:rRNA from 1 species